rnacentral:rRNA from 1 species
ACUCCUACGGGAGGCAGCAGUGGGGAAUAUUGCACAAUGGGCGCAAGCCUGAUGCAGCCAUGCCGCGUGUAUGAAGAAGGCCUUCGGGUUGUAAAGUACUUUCAGCAGUGAGGAAGGCGGGUACGUUAAUAGCGUGCUUGUUUGACGUUAGCUGCAGAAGAAGCACCGGCUAACUCCGUGCCAGCAGCCGCGGUAAUACGGAGGGUGCGAGCGUUAAUCGGAAUUACUGGGCGUAAAGCGCAUGCAGGUGGUUUGUUAAGUCAGAUGUGAAAGCCCGGGGCUCAACCUCGGAAUUGCAUUUGAAACUGGCAGACUAGAGUACUGUAGAGGGGGGUAGAAUUUCAGGUGUAGCGGUGAAAUGCGUAAGAGAUCUGAAGGAAUACCGGUGGCGAAGGCGGCCCCCUGGACAGAUACUGAC